GAUGAACGCUGGCGGCGUGCCUAACACAUGCAAGUCGAGCGAGAAGGUGAUGACUGAUUCUUCGGAUGAAGGAUUCACUGGAGAGCGGCGGACGGGUGAGUAACGCGUGGGUAAUCUGCCCUGUGGAGGGGAUAACAUUCUGAAAAGAAUGCUAAUACCGCAUAAGCAUACAAGAUCGCAUGAUCAAGUGUGAAAAACUCCGGUGCCACAGGAUGAGCCCGCGUAAGAUUAGCUAGUUGGUAAGGUAAUGGCUUACCAAGGCGACGAUCUUUAGCCGACCUGAGAGGGUGAUCGGCCACAUUGGGACUGAGACACGGCCCAAAACUCCUACGGGAGCAGCAGUGGGGGAUAUUGCACAAUGGAGGAAACUCUGAUGCAGCAACGCCGCGUGAAGGAAGACGGUUUUCGGA
rnacentral:rRNA from 1 species